CAGCAGCCGCGGUAAUACGUAGGUCCCGAGCGUUGUCCGGAUUUAUUGGGCGUAAAGGGAGCGCAGGCGGUUAGUAAGUCUGAAGUUAAAGGCAUUGGCUCAACCAAUGUAUGCUUUGGAAACUGUUAGACUUGAGUGCGGAAGGGGAGAGUGGAAUUCCAUGUGUAGCGGUGAAAUGCGUAGAUAUAUGGAGGAACACCGGUGGCGAAAGCGGCUCUCUGGUCUGUCACUGACGCUGAGGCGCGAAAGCGUGGGGAGCAAACAGGAUUAGAUACCCCCGUAGUCCCUGUCUCUUAUACAC
rnacentral:rRNA from 1 species